rnacentral:rRNA from 1 species
CAGCAGCCGCGGUAAUACGUAGGGUGCAAGCGUUAAUCGGAAUUACUGGGCGUAAAGCGCACGCAGGCGGUCUGUCAAGUCAGAUGUGAAAUCCCCGGGCUUAACCUGGGAACUGCAUUUGGAACUGGCAGGCUAGAGUCUUGUAGAGGGGGGUAGAAUUCCAGGUGUAGCGGUGAAAUGCGUAGAGAUCUGGAGGAAUACCGGUGGCGAAGGCGGCCCCCUGGACAAAGACUGACGCUCAGGUGCGAAAGCGUGGGGAGCAAACAGGAUUAGAUACCCCAGUAGUCCCUGUCUCUUAUAC